GGAGCCUGAGCGCCGAGAGAGGGAAUUAGUGCGAGCUGAGUGAGUGGGCGCCAGCGCCGCCGCCACCACCGUCACCGUCACAGCUACCGCCGUCCCGGUAACCGCCUUCGCCGUGCCGGAGCCCUCAGCAAGUGUUUAUUGAGGGCGUGUUAUGUGCAGACGCAGUGCCUGACGCGGGGGAUGCAAAGUUCCAUCGGGGCCAUGUCGGAGCGAGAAGAGCGGCGGUUCGUGGAGAUCCCUCGGGAGUCCGUCCGGCUCAUGGCAGAGAGCACAGGCCUGGAGCUGAGUGAUGAGGUGACGGCCCUGCUCGCAGAGGACGUGUGCUACCGUCUCAGAGAGGCCACCCAGAAUAGCUCUCAAUUCAUGAAACAUACCAAACGGCGGAAGCUGACUGUCGAGGAUUUCAACAGGGCCCUCAGAUGGAGCAGUGUGGAGGCUGUGUGUGGUUAUGGGUCCCAGGAGGCGCUGCCCCUGCGCCCUGCCAGGGAGGGUGAGCUCUACUUCCCCGAGGACCGAGAGGUGAACCUGGUGGAGCUGGCCCUGGCCACCAACAUCCCCAAAGGCUGCGCCGAGACAGCUGUGAGAGUUCAUGUCUCCUACCUAGAUGGCAAAGGGAACCUGGCCCCUCAAGGAUCGGUGCCCAGUGCUGUGUCUUCACUGACUGAUGACCUUCUCAAGUACUACCAGCAAGUGACUCGGGCUGUGCUGGGGGAUGAUCCACAGCUGAUGAAGGUUGCCCUCCAGGACUUGCAGACCAACUCGAAGAUCGCAGCGCUCCUGCCGUACUUUGUUUAUGUGGUCAGUGGGGUGAAAUCUGUAAGCCACGACCUGGAGCAGCUACACCGGCUCUUGCAGGUGGCACGGAGCCUAGUUCGGAACCCACACCUCUGCCUGGGGCCCUAUGUCCGCUCCCUGGUAGGCAGUGUCCUCUACUGUGUCCUGGAGCCCCUGGCUGCCUCCAUCAACCCGCUGAAUGACCACUGGACCCUGCGGGAUGGAGCUGCCCUCCUGCUCAGUCACAUCUUCUGGACUCAUGGGGACCUUGUAAGUGGCCUCUAUCAGCAGAUCCUGCUCUCCCUGCAGAAGGUCUUGGCAGAUCCUGUGAGGCCUCUCUGCUCUCACUACGGGGCUGUGGUGGGGCUGCACGCCCUUGGCUGGAAGGCAGUAGAGCGAGUCCUGUACCCACACCUGUCCACUUACUGGACAAAUUUGCAGGCUGUGCUAGAUGAUUAUUCAGUAUCGAAUGCCCAGGUUAAAGCAGAUGGGCACAAAGUCUAUGGAGCCAUUCUGGUGGCCGUAGAACGACUGCUGAAGAUGAAGGCCCAGGCAGCAGAGCCCAACAAGGGUGGGCCAGGCAGCAGGGGCUGCCGGCGCUCAGACGACCUGCCUUGGGACAGUCUUCUCCUGCAGGAGUCUCCCUCCGGGGGCAGCGCAGAGCCAGGCUUUGGGUCUGGUCUCCCGCUGCCGCCAGGAGGCGCGGGGCCGGAGGCUCCUUCCCCUUCGGUGACCCUGGCGGACAUCUAUCGGGAGCUCUACGCCUUCUUCGGUGACAGCUUGGCCACCCGCUUUGGCACGGGUCAGCCCGCGCCCACGGCCCCGCGGCCGCCUGGGGACAAGAAAGAGCCGGCGGCCGCCCCGGACUCGGUGCGGAAGAUGCCGCAGCUGACCGCCAACGCCAUGGUCAGCCCGCAGGGCGACGAGAGCCCCCGGGGCGGAGGCCCCCCGUCGGCCUCUGCCCCCACCGCCUCUGAGAGCAGGCCGCUGCCGCGCGUGCACCGGGCGCGGGGGGCGCCCCGGCAGCAGGGCCCGGGCGCCGGCACCCGCGACGUCUUUCAGAAGAGCCGUUUCGCCCCGCGCGGUGCCCCUCACUUCCGUUUCAUCAUCGCCGGGCGGCAAGCAGGGAGGCGAUGCCGCGGGCGCCUCUUCCAGACUGCCUUCCCCGCGCCGUACGGGCCCAGCCCGGCCUCCCGUUACGUGCAGAAGCUGCCCAUGAUCGGCCGCACCGGCCGCCCGGCCCGCCGCUGGGCGCUCUCGGACUACUCGCUGUACCUGCCGCUUUGAGGCGGCGCUGGCCUCUGUGAAUAAAUCCAGCGCCCGGAAGUGACGUCUCCGCGCUCGUGGGUCGCGCCGGAUGAGGCGGGGCUUGGGCGGUUGGCUCCCACGGCGGCGCUUCCUGGUGGCGAGGGAGCCAUGGCUCUCCCUUGGUUGCAGCGCGUCGAGCUCGUGUUCUUUGCUACCGCCUUCGUGUGCGGAGCCGUGGCGGCCGCGGCACUGACUCGGACCCAGCAGCUGCAUCGAGGAUUCCCACAGAGGCCCGAUAGGGCUCCGCAUUGCACUGGCCAUCUCAGCUAUAGCCAUCUUCCUGGUCUUAGUGUCUGCCUGCAUCCUUCGAUUUGGCACCAGUUCCCUCUGCAAAUCCAUCAUCUCCCUGAACAUAACUAGCUGCUCUGAUGCCCAGAAAACUCCAUGGAUACCCCCUGGAACCGCUCUGCAGUUUUACUCCAACCUACACAAUGCUGAACCUGUAGCAUCACUGAGCGCACAGAGCGGAAGGAAAAGAGAAGACCAGCACCAAGUACCAGAGUACCUGCAGGAAGAGCAAAGAUUGGGGUUUUCCCUGGAGAGCUAAGAAGCAACCCUUACCGUGUGCCCCCAAAUAAUAAAAAAAAAAAAUUGU